GGGUGUGUAGCUCAGUGGUAGAGCGGUUGACUGCAGAUUAGUAGGUCCUCGGUUCAAAUCGGGGAGCGCCCU
rnacentral:tRNA from 1 species